UACGAAGGGGGCUAGCGUUGCUCGGAAUCACUGGGCGUAAAGGGCGCGUAGGCGGCCUGAUAAGUCGGGGGUGAAAGCCUGUGGCUCAACCACAGAAUUGCCUUCGAUACUGUUGGGCUUGAGACCGGAAGAGGUAAGUGGAACUGCGAGUGUAGAGGUGAAAUUCGUAGAUAUUGGGAAGAACACCGGUGGCGAAGGCGGCCAACUGGACAGAUACUGACGCUGAGACUCGAAAGCGUGGGGAGCAAACAGG
rnacentral:rRNA from 1 species